GGUGCCCUGAGAAAAAGGUUUAAAAGAAACGAUUUAAGAUUACACUUUAAGAAGCUGGAAAGGAUGAGCUCCUGGGCGGCUCACUGG